UUUCAUUCAAAGAAUUAAAGAACUACAAUUGCAAAUUUUUUACAUAACAGUAGCAUUUGGUUCCUUAUAAAGAGAUGAAUAAAUGAGCACACUCUUACUGCUGCAAAGCCAGGAAUUGGAAUGGCCAUUGCUGUCAAGAAGUGGAACGUAUCAGGGAAGGCUUUUGUAGGAACCACUCAAUAUUUUGCAGAAGGAAGUGUAGCAACGUCGUCGUCCAAUUCUGAUUAAACUUGCCGCUUACUGCAAUUAAGGUGACGAACUGCUUGUGGUGUACGAGUUCGUGCCAAAAGGAAAGCUUGGACAGUUAGGUGGCAUAGCUACUUAAUAUUACUUGAACAAUGCUUAAAUAUCUGUCCCCAUUGUCAUACCAGUCACUUGAGUAAUCCAUGAAAAUACUAUCUGUUCUUCUAAUAUUCUGGAAUCUUUUAUAGGAUCUCACUUCAUUCGUCAUCACAAUAUCUUGUACUCAAGUUUUUUCUACUGUUUGUAGUGUCAAUAAGCCUCUUGGGAAUUGCCGUUAAAGGAGGAAUUAUGCUACGUUGCUAAGGAUUUUUAUGAUGGAUUUACACUUGGUUGAAUUUCAUUGGCAGUUAGACAAAAAAAAAAAACUUCAAACCAGUCAAUCUAGUUUUGUCACUUCAUCAUCUGUUAAAAUUCUUGGCAAAAGCACUUGUACAGGUGGCUUGAUCAUCGAAGAAGUGUUUGACGGAGCACCUUUUACAUGUCAUGCCUAAAUGGACUCUGCUUAACGGGGCCUGUACAGAAUACUCACAAUGGAUGGAUGGGGGUGGGGGGAAAUUUUUAUUUUUUUUUUCCAAAAUAAUCACCCAUUCCCUCAAGCAUGUCAGGAUUUUGUACACGCCCUGUACAUCGGGCAAAAUUCCGCCUAAAUCUAGCUCUUGAGAGUACUUUCAGUAGAUCGGUGGACCAAAUCAUCAGUGAUGUGCUGCCUAUCCUUUUUGUGAUGCUGAGAUAAUAAAGUUCUCCUUCCACUACAAGCAUGGGGGUAAGGUCCAAAUCUGGCAGCAAGUAAAAAUGACUGAAAUCUGGAAAAUCAUUUUGAAAGCUUCACACAAGAAAGACCUCUAGCUUUAAGCUGGGUUUUCUGAACUUGCAAAACUCUGUUAUUAUACUGUUGACUAGAUUAGAGCAUCUCCAAUCCUUAUCGUGACUUGUACGAGUAAAAUAAACUGUUAAAAUUUCUCUCGUGUAGAAAAAAGUGGGAUUCUAUAAACUGUUAAAAUUUCUCUCGUGU